rnacentral:rRNA from 1 species
UACGUAGGGGGCAAGCGUUGUCCGGAAUCAUUGGGCGUAAAGAGCGUGUAGGCGGCCAGGUAGGUCGGUUGUGAAAACUAGAGGCUCAACCUCUAGACGUCGACCGAAACCACUUGGCUAGAGUCCGGAAGAGGAGAGUGGAAUUCCUGGUGUAGCGGUGAAAUGCGCAGAUAUCAGGAAGAACACCCGUGGCGAAGGCGGCUCUCUGGGACGGUACUGACGCUGAGACGCGAAAGCGUGGGGAGCGAACAGG